rnacentral:rRNA from 1 species
AACGAACGCUGGCGGCAUGCCUAACACAUGCAAGUCGAACGAGACCUUCGGGCCUAGUGGCGCACGGGUGCGUAACGCGUGGGAACCUGCCCUUAGGUUCGGAAUAACUCCCCGAAAGGGGUGCUAAUACCGGAUCUUGUCUUCCGACCAAAGUUUUAUCGCCUUUGGAUGGGCCUGCGUUGGAUUAGCUAGUUGGUAGGGUAAAAGCCUACCAAGGGUACGAUACAUAGCUGGUCUGAGAGGAUGAUCAGCCACACUGGGACUGAGACACGGCCCAGACUCCUACGGGAGGCAGCAGUGGGGAAUAUUGGACAAUGGGCGAAAGGCUGAACGAGCAAGGCCGCGUGAGUGAUGAAGGCCUUAGGGUUGUAAAGCUAUUUUACCCGGGAUGAUAAUGACAGUACCGGGAGAAUAAGCUCCGGCUAACUCCGUG